AUGUGCCCGGAGGAGGGCGGCGCGGCCGGGCUGGGCGAGCUCCGCUCCUGGUGGGAAGUCCCGGCCAUCGCACACUUCUGCUCGCUCUUUCGCACCGCGUUCCGCCUGCCCGACUUUGAGAUCGAGGAGUUAGAAGCAGCUCUUCACAGAGAUGAUGUAGAGUUUAUCAGUGACCUGAUUGCCUGCCUGCUUCAGGGCUGCUAUCAACGAAGGGAUAUCACGCCUCAGACAUUCCACAGCUACCUAGAGGACAUCAUCAACUACCGCUGGGAGCUUGAAGAAGGGAAGCCCAACCCUCUGAGAGAAGCCAGUUUCCAAGACCUGCCCCUUCGCACUCGUGUGGAAAUCCUGCACCGCCUUUGUGAUUAUCGGCUAGAUGCAGACGAUGUUUUCGAUCUUCUCAAGGGUUUGGAUGCAGACAGUCUCCGCGUGGAACCAUUGGGUGAAGACAAUUCUGGGGCACUCUAUUGGUAUUUCUAUGGAACACGAAUGUAUAAGGAGGACCCAGUGCAAGGAAAAUCCAAUGGAGAACUCUCGUUGAGCAGGGAGAGUGAAGGACAAAAAAAUGUCUCCGCUGUUCCUGGGAAAACAGGAAAAAGAAGAGGAAGACCCCCAAAACGGAAGAAAGUACAGGAGGAGAUUAUAGUGAGUGAAAAGCAGGAAGAAAACUCCUUGGCAUCUGAACCACAGACAAGAAAUGAGUCCCAAGGGCCAGGUCAAGGCACUUGGUGGCUCCUGUGCCAAACAGAAGAAGAAUGGAGACAGGUCACUGAGAGUUUUCGGGAGAGGACCUCCCUUCGAGAACGGCAGCUCUAUAAGCUCCUCAGUGAGGACUUCCUGCCCGAGAUCUGCAACAUGAUUGCCCAGAAGGGAAAACGUCCACAGCGCACAAAAGCAGAGUUGCAACCUAGGUGGAUGUCUGACCACCUGUCCAUCAAAUCCAUCAAGCGAGAGGAGACCCCUGUGCUUACCCGAAUAGAAAAACAGAAGCGCAAAGAGGAGGAGGAAGAACGUCAAAUUCUUCUAGCAGUGCAGAAGAAGGAGCAGGAGCAGAUGUUAAAGGAAGAGAGGAAACGAGAGCUGGAGGAAAAGGUCAAGGCAGUGGAAGAUCGAGCGAAGAGGAGAAAGCUCAGGGAAGAAAGGGCAUGGCUGCUGGCCCAAGGAAAGGAGCUCCCCCCAGAACUUUCCCAUCUGGACCCUAGCUCCCCCAUGAGAGAAGAAAAAAAGACUAAAGACCUCUUUGAGUUGGAUGAUGAUUUCACUGCCAUGUAUAAAGUUCUAGAUGUGGUAAAGGCUCACAAGGAUUCCUGGCCCUUUUUAGAACCUGUGGAUGAAUCGUAUGCCCCAAACUAUUACCAGAUUAUUAAGGUCCCCAUGGAUAUCUCAAGCAUGGAGAAGAAACUGAAUGGAGGUUUAUACUGUACCAAGGAGGAAUUUGUAAAUGACAUGAAGACUAUGUUUAGGAAUUGUCGAAAAUAUAAUGGGGAAAGUAGUGAGUAUACCAAGAUGUCUGAUAAUUUAGAGAGGUGUUUCCAUCGAGCAAUGAUGAAGCAUUUUCCUGGUGAAGAUGGAGACACAGAUGAAGAAUUUUGGAUCAGAGAGGAUGAAAAGCGAGAGAAGAGACGGAGCCGGGCUGGGCGAAGCAGUGGAAGCCAUGUUUGGACCCGCUCCAGGGACUCUGAAGGGCCCAGCAAGAAACAGCAACUGGUGGAGAAUGGAGGGAAGUCAUUGCCGCCUGCCCGCCGAGCUUCCUCUUCUGGGGAUAAUCAAAGCAGCAGUUCCACACAACUCCCUCGGGAGGUGGGCACCUCAAAUGGCCGAGGCUUUUCUCUUCCCCUACAUUAUGGUGGGAUGCCCAGCCAGGCACCCCUUUUAAACCAGAUGAGGCCAGCAGUACCAGGAACAUUUGUCCCUCUUCGAGGAUCAGAUUCUGCCAAUUUAUAUGUCUCCUCUAGGGUCCCAGAACCACACCCUGGAGAACCUGUACAGCAGCCUCAGCCUUUUGCCAUGCAGCCUCCAGUUGGAAUUAACAACCACCGAGGACCCAGGCUAGGCACUCCAGAAGAGAAGCAAGUGUGUGGGGGGCUGACACACCUUAGUAACAUGGGAUCACAUCCUGGAUCCUUGCAGCUUAGGCAUAUGGGUGGCCCUAGUCAGGAUGGAAAUAUUUAUCCCCCAACUCAAUUCCAGUCAGGAUUUAUUCCUCCCAGGCAUGGUGGGGCUCCAGCCCGACCCCCAGACUUUCCUGAAAGCUCAGAAAUUCCUCCCAGCCACAUGUACCGAUCAUACAAGUACAUGAAUCGAGUACACACUGCUGUCUGGAAUGGGAACCAUGGUGCUACAAACCCAGGACCCUUGGGCACAGAUGAGAAGCCCCCCAUGGGGCCAGGACCCUCUCACCAGCCUCGCACUCUUGGUCAUAUGAUGGAUUCCCGAGUGAUGAGACCUCCUCUUCCCCCAAACCAGUGGACUGAACAAUCAAGCUUUCUACCUCAUGGAGUUGCUUCUUCAGGGUAUAUGCGAGCACCCUGUAAAUCUGGUGGACAUCGGUUACAGCCACCUCCAGCCCCAACGCCAAGUUCUCUUUUUGGAGCACCCUCCCACGCUCUGCGGGGGGUGCAAGGAGGGGACUCCAUGAUGGACAGCCCAGAGAUGAUUGCCAUGCAGCAGCUUUCUUCCCGAGUUUGCCCACCAGGUGUGCCUUACCACCCCCGACAGCCUACACCCCACCAUUUACCUGGCCCUUUUCCACAGGUAGCUCACUCGGCAUCAGUAAGUGUGUCAGCCCCCAAGCCUACCUUGGGGAACCCUGGGAGGACACAGGAUAACAGUGAAACACAAGAGCCUGAGAACGACCGAGCAGAUCCCUUGCCUGGGCUUGAGGAGAAACCACCAAACAUUGGUGCUUCAGAGGGGGUGUACCUCAAACAGCUACCUCACCCUACACCUCCAUUGCAGACCGACUGUACCAGGCAGAGCUCACCACAAGAAAGAGAAACAGAGGGCCCAGAGCUCAAAAGCGACUCCUCAGAAUCUGGAGACAACUGUAAAGCAACAAAGAGCAAAAAUACCUGGCCCCUGGAGAGCACCUAUACCAGCCCAGCCACCCAAGGUUGUAUGCGAGACCUCUCCACUCUGGCAGAUAGAGGGGCUCUACCGGAAAAUGGAGUAAUUGUUGAAGCAUCCCCUUGUGGAUCAGAGGGGAAGGGCCUUGGUGGUAGUGGUUCAGAAAAGCCACUCUGCCCCAGAGGCAAAACGCUACAGGAAGCCAUGCCGUGUACAAGACAGAACCCAGCUACACCUCCCAACGCGGACCCCAAUCUGAUGGGAGGCACUGUAAGCCAGUUUUCCCCCUUGUACAUGCCUGGGCUGGAAUACCCAAAUUCAGCUACACAUUACCACAUCAGUCCAGGCCUGCAAGGUUUGGGCCCUGUGAUGGGAAGUAAACCCUCAGUAUCCCAUCCUCAGCAUUUCCCCCCUAGGGGCUUUCAAUCUAACAACCCUCAUUCUGGAGUCUUUCCCCGGUAUCGCCCCCACCAAGGAAUGAGGUAUUCCUACCAGUCACCACCUCAGCCUUCAUAUCAUCACUAUCAGCGAACUCCUUAUUAUCCAUGUCCACAGGGCUUUUCUGACUGGCAGAGACAUCUUCAUCCCCCGGGAAGCCCAAGUGGGCUCCCACCUAAUCCACCGCCCCCACCAAGGCCCCUCUUCUCAGAUAAGAGCACCUUGGCUAAUCUGCAAGGCUGUGAGACACUGAAUGCUGCCUUAAAUUCCCCAACCCAAGUGGAUGCAGUGGCUGCUAAAGUCGUCUCAGCUGAUGGACAGAAUCCUGGUCCAGAGGAAGAAAAGCUGGAUGAAUCUAUGGAGAGGCCAGAGAGUCCCAAAGAAUUUUUAGACCUGGACAACCAUAAUGCAGCUACCAAGCGGCAGAGCUCAUUGUCAGCCAGCGAGUAUCUUUAUGGAACUCCUCCUCCACCUCUGAGUUCAGGGAUGGGAUUUGGUUCAUCUACUUUCCAGCCCCAUGGUGUGAUGCUACAGACAGGGCCUCCUUACACACCUCAGCGGCCAACCAGUCAUUUCCAGCCCAGGGCCUACUCUUCCCCCGUGGCUGCUCACCCACCUCACCAUCCAGUGGCUGCCCAGCCCAACGGCCUCUCUCAGGAGGGCCCCAUUUAUCGUUGCCAAGAAGAGGGCCUGGGUCACUUUCAGGCUGUAAUGAUGGAACAAAUUGGUACUGGAAGUGGAAUAAGGGGACCUUUCCAGGAAAUGUACAGACCAUUAGGGAUGCAAAUGCAUCCAGUCCAGUCACAGUCCUCGUUCCCAAAGACCCCAGCACCAGCAGCAUCCCGGGAAGAGCUGCCACCACAUAAGCCCCCAACACUUCCUCUUGAUCAGAGCUAGUCCAAGGAGGAAAUAAACCCCAAGGAAACAGAAAGCUGCACAUGAAGACUGGAACAUGGAAAAUUUAGGGAAGCGAUCCCUGCCCACCUCUAUUCCUGUUAGCCUGCCACACCCCUUCACAGUGCAUCCCAUCAUGCCGUCCAAGAGCUGGAGCCGUUCCCGGAGCCCUAGAAGCAUACUCCUUAGACUAACACCAGCUUUGCAAAGGUCCUUGGUUGGGGAUCUCUUGUAUGGCUGAUGGUCAAGAACAAAUGAACUGAAAUUAGUGAUGGCUUUUCUAAGUCCUGAGACUCUUGUUCAGGGAAAAUCAUCUUAAACUUGGGGGAGAGGGUCACACUUAAGAAUGGAGUGGUGCUUGUAAACUUUCAUGAGCAGCUAAACUCAGACCUGCUGCCGGGACUGUGAUCUGAUAGACAUCACACAAAGCUUUCUGGCACGAAUCACAUUUUAUGGAAGUGACUACUCAGGUUUGUAUAUGUUAGUAUCAAUAAAGAAAUUGCACAGUUUUGAAUAGGAAAAAUGUAUUCUAUAGAUUUACAAUUUGAAUUUAGGAAUAUCUCAGUAUAUAUAGUUUUAAUUCAUUUUAAGUGAAUCAUAGUAAAAUAAGUCAUGGUGAUUUAAAAUAGCUUUCAGGAAUGAGUUCUUGGAAAUCAUUUGUCAUAUCUGUGAUAGGAAACAAUUUUACAGUAUUAAAUUACUUUUUUACAGUUUUAGAAGUGAAUUACACUGGAUUGUCCUUGUUUAGCAUUCUGUAUUUGAUUUUAGCUGAGAUGCCACCAAAGUUAGGACUCCUAUGUUUUAAACUUUUGAAUAUCCUACAAAGAAAAAAAAAAAAAAAAACUAAGGGAAAAUGCCCUGAAAUUAACAGAUUUUUGUAAAGAAUAGCAUAUUUUUAAGCAUGCCUUCGGGAUAGUAGAAAAGCCUCCAUAUAAUAUUAAUCUGCUCUAGUUUCUUACAAAUUCAGCCUUGUGAGGGGCCGUUAGAAUCUUUCCCUCCAAUUCCAGCAUCCUUGAUGAAACGUGGAACUAUCAUGUUUCAAGUUUGCUAUGCUAUGCUAUUUAGGAUAAGAAACAAAUUGGAAAUAUCCAUGUUAUACAGAUGGAACACAAGACACCAGCUCCAGUGUAAAGAAAAUUCAUACAAAUAAGGGAAUGCUUAUUGACCUGGCGUUGUGGCUUAUGGCUCAGGCAGGAUUGAGAGUUGUGUAGGAACACAGGAGCCUUUAAGAUACGGUGCACAAAAAUACAAAUUCUUUUUCUCUAAUAGACUCCAGUUUUAAAUUUGGUGUGCUUUUAAGUGGAAUGAGUUUUGAGGCUAUGUUCUCAUUUGGUCCUGAUUCUGGUUAGAAAGCUGUCACUGGCAUGAUCUGGUUUGGAAGAGUGAAGAUGUCCGCGCUGUCCCUGUAGGAAGAACAGAUCUGAUGAUUGAGCUCUUGAGCUAGUGUAAGUUAACAUGGCCGAUGCAUUACUCCUUCUGUUUUUGUGUCUGUGUAGAAGCAGGGAGGAGAGAAAGACCACCUGGCCUUGACAGCUGGCUCGGGUCUAGUUAGAGCUGGUCUAGACCCAGAGCGCUCUGCCACUGACAGCCUUUCUCUUCUCACGUGAAAGUCAGUGUGAGUGACAGGCCUUUGGCUGCUGCCUGACUCGGAGCACAGUGGCCACAGGGUCUGUUCCCCUGGCGCUGAGGUUGGAGGUAUUGCUUUGUGCUGAAUGGCCCUGGGGCGUGUGUAGGAGUGGACCAUAGGCAAUGGUUGGGCUGAUCUGUGCCCUUUCUCCUUCACCCUGCGUGAGUAACCUUUUCUCCUCGCUCUCCCAGCCCCUACCCCCGUUACCUGUUGCUAGAGAAAAGCUGUGAACAAUAUAGGAAGAAAUCAAAUGUAGAGAAGUGAGAAAAUGUUAAGGAAGAACAGUAUCAAGGACUGAACUACUACUGUAUCAUCUAACACUGGGAACAAGGGCAACAGCAGACUCGGCAGCCUUGUUGCGUCCCAUGUGGGAACUGAGUCGUGCAUUACAGCCCUUGUCUGCUAUCUCCUGAGCUUCUACUGGUCUUUGAAGCCCAGAUCUGCUACAAGCAGUCAGGAGCUGCAAGAGAACACAUGUGACCGUUCAGCUGCUUGAUGGCUGAUCGCUCUGCCCCCAAGCACGACCUUUUCUUCUCUCCUGUUUUUCUCCUCUGGCACUUCUCUUCCCACGUGUCUUAAGCAGAUGCACAUGCAUUUGCCCUCUUGUCCAUGAGGGGAUGGUGGUGUGUGAUAUGUUAAAACUAGAAAGUAGUGCGUGAGGAGGUCCUCAAAAUGAUCUGCUGUCGGGCUAGGAGGACUCUCCCACAGUGUCCGUGGGCCGGCUCUUGGGAGUCCCCAGGAGGGAGUAGCUGGGCUCCACGGGGAAUGAGGAAACUCACACUGGUUGGAUUGAACAGUCCUGGCUAGCCUUUAUUAGAGUUGUUAAUAAGUUAGGAUCUUUUUUCCCUAAGACCCAGGAGAAAUAAACAACCCAGAAAGAAAAGUAAAGCUUUUUGGAAGGUUUCUGGUUUGGGUUUGUUGUUUGUUUUUUCCCUCGGAGUCUGUUCUUUUAAAAAGUAGCUGUUGGCGGAAAUUUAUUAUGGUAGAUGCAUGUGAAGAGUAAGUAAGGGCAAAAUGUGCAGAUUCUUGUUCAUAUAACUUCUUCCAUCCUACCUUCUAAAAGUAAAAUUAAAGCCACUCCGCCUCUCCUUAAUCACGUUCGUUUGGGUUCGGGCAGUGCACAUGAGCUGCUGCUUCACGAUUCUUUUAUUCUCAGUGAGCCCAAGUGAGACUGCUCUCAAGAGGCAAAACUCUGUCAUGCUCGUCUUCUGAAAACGUGAAGACCUGUAGGGUGUGUGUGCACCUUAGUUCACUCAGACCCCAGCUUUCAGUGUCGAUUCACUGUGGCCUAGUGCUCAGACCUUGAAAAUGCUUCUCGUGACCAUUAGGUGUCGUUACCCCAUGGCAUUUGUCUGCUGUAUUAUUAUUUAUGGUAAUUCCUACUGGAGUCAAAGAGGAUGCUAAGUGCUGUCCAAAACACACAAAAUCCCAGUGUUACAGUCAUCACAGAUGUCAGAAACAAGCUCUCAAUCCAUAUGACUUGGUUGAAUUUUUCUUCCCUUUUUGAAAUUCAAAUUUAUAAAUAAUAUACUGCUCUUAAACCCCAAUCUGAAAUUUCACAGCAAGUCUUAACCCAGCAGUCCCAAGGCAAGGGCAGUUACAUAGUGUCAGAAUGCUUUCAAAGAAAUGAAAGGCUUAGAGUUUUGUAGCAUUAUUGCUACCUGCCCCCACCCGCCUUGUGACUGUCAGUCCAUUCACCCCUGCCAGAUUCUGCAUGGACCUCCAGUGAGGAAGUCAGUUCCGUGUGUGUGUGAGUCAAGGACUCUUACACCUCGGGAGUUUCUGGAAUGCAGUGUCCUGGCUAAUAGAUUUCUGUUCAACAUUCUAGUGAGAAUACUGGGAAUUUUGGUUGAGCAUGAAGAGGCUUUUAUUCCUGGGCUCACAUCACAGUCUAGGAACUAAGAAUGUGAUUGAGAUUUGCUGCAUGAGAAGAAACCACUUUUCCUUUUUUGGUGGGUUGGACUUUCUCUGUAAUAUGGAGCCUUAGGACACCAAGCCUUGCCCUGUUUUUCAUUUAGGAAAACAACCUGAGUGAACAUUUUUGCAUCCCAUCUCUCAUAUGAAGCUGUGACACAAGCUUUGUCUCCAGGUUGGGUGUUUAUCUGUCUCUGCUUUGUAGGCCUUUGCUAACCAGAAAUUUAGAGGGGCUGUCCCCCCAGCUAGUCUUUGUCUCUCACUGUGUACCAGGGGACUGACUGAACUUUUAUGUAGAAAUGCCUAAUAACCAACUGAUUGUCCUGCAUGUGUUUUUGAAAAGGGUGGGAUGGGGUUGGGAACAGGGGGUGUGGAUAUUGAGUAAGUUAUUGAAAUGCUGAACCCCGUUCAGUAUCCUUCGUGUGACCCCUUUUCCCCAGCUGGGACUCGGGUACCUCACUCUCCUGCCUUGCACACAGCUCCUGGGAGCCCAGGCCAGUCUCCACCAGCCUGCGGCACACAGUGUCAGGGAUUCUUUGCUCCUGCUGCAAAAGCCGUGUGAACUUUCCUGGCCAGUACUGGAAAGGGGAAUGCUAUUUAUUUUUAUAUUGUGUAUAUUUUGUCGUGGUCUGCUGAUUCCCUGUUUCACUGAGAGCGACACUUACCUCAAUAGUUAGUUCGAUAUUGUGUGUUGGAUAAUUUUUUAAAAGAACUUUUUAAAAAGCUUUUUGAUCCUCAGAGGUCUGUAGAUUUAUUUCCAUAUGAACUGGUUAUUUUGUAUAAAGUACAUUCUUAAAAUA